GUGAGGAAUAUUGGUCAAUGGGCGGGAGCCUGAACCAGCCAAGUCGCGUGAAGGAAGAAGGAUCUAUGGUUCGUAAACUUCUUUUGCAGGGGAAUAAAGUGCAGGACGUGUCCUGUUUUGUAUGUACCCUGAGAAUAAGGAUCGGCUAACUCCGUGCCAGCAGCCGCGGUAAUACGGAGGAUCCGAGCGUUAUCCGGAUUUAUUGGGUUUAAAGGGUGCGUAGGUGGUUUGAUAAGUCAGCGGUGAAAGUUUGCAGCUUAACUGUAAAAAUGCCGUUGAAACUGUCGGACUUGAGUGUAAAUGAGGUAGGCGGAAUGCGUAGUGUAGCGGUGAAAUGCAUAGAUAUCACGCAGAACUCCGAUUGCGAAGGCAGCUUACUAAGCUACAACUGACACUGAAGCACGAAAGCGUGGGGAUCAAACAGGAUUAGAAACCCCGGUAGUCC
rnacentral:rRNA from 1 species